rnacentral:misc_RNA from 1 species
AACGCAUCUUGCACUCUUUGGUUAUUCCGAAGAGUAUGCUUGUUUGAGUGUCGCGAACCUCUCAACCCCGCUACUUUCUUUCGGGUUAGUAGUAGUUUGGGCUUGGAUCAUAGUCCUUUACCGUAUCUCUGCGCAUGGUUGGACUGAAAGUAACGCAAGCUGAAUGAACGAAUAGUACGGUUUGACCUGAUGUUGUAGGCAAAGAACACAACCUUUCAUCGGGGACGCACUAAAGGUUGAAAGAGCUUUAAAGCAACCAGUGUUUAGCUGUCAGAAAUGAUAGUGCAUUUUUGACCUCAAAUCAAGUAGGACUACCCGCUGAACUUAA